AAUAGUUGUUAGUUGAUUGAGUUACUAAGUUUGAUUAUUUGAUAGUAUUGGCUGAUUGUAGAAAUAUGUUUGGUCAAUUAGUUGUUAGGUGAUAGCUCAUUAUAUGAAAAAUAACUUUAUUAAAAAGCUGUGUUGAGCACC